CCUUCGAUAGCUCAGUUGGUAGAGCGGUGGACUGUAGAGGAAUGUUCAUAGUAAUCCAUAGGUCGCUGGUUCAAAUCCGGCUCGAAGGA
rnacentral:tRNA from 2 species